GCCAUGUGAAGACCAUGAUUGCUCUCCCUUCAGCCUUCCACCUUUGUAAGUUUCCUGAGGCCUCCCCAGAAGCAGAAGCCUGCGUAGUCUGCAGAACUGGAAGAAAAAGAGAAUAUAAAGAGAAGAAGGAGAGAAUGUUCCAGCAGCAAUGAAGCAGAACCAGCUUUUGUGAGGACUGGUGCACAAAGACUCCAUCUAACAGCUACCCGUAUUUCCUGACAGUGACUCCGAAAGGUAUCCCAAUACCUAAAUACACAGAAAUUACUGGAAGAAAUAUUCAAUCUGGCGUGAUAUACUAGG